UUCAACACUUACUUUCUGGACAAACUAGAUGAAAAAGAUCUCUCUCCCCUCCACUGUCUCAGCGCUGAUGGUUGGUGAGACUGUUUUACAAACUGCCUUGGCUCGUGCCGCAAUCUGGGUGGGCAGUUCCUAUUGUCACAGCGCCCUCUUUAUUUGUUAUGCCGACUUGUUUGAUGUCUGUUAGAGCCAGUCCAAAUGAUGACGCUAAAGUGGGAAAAACUUUCGCCUGCCGAAUUUCAACAGCUACAGGAUUUUAUACAAUUUUCUUCUAAGAAGCUGACUGAGGUGUUAGAAUAUGAGUUUAAAGAAGGGGGCGCUUUGUCCAAGUACAAUCCUGAAGGAGAUAUUGAUCUGGAGGGCUUCCAACUCUUUUUGGAUACUUACCUUGAGAUCGAAACGCCAAGAGAUUUAUCCAAACGUCUUUUUCUUUCGUUUUUAAAAAAAUCACCCCAAGCUACGUCCCAGAGUUUUGACGGUCGUCUUCUUAAGGUGGCAGCUGUGACGUCCACAACAGCCUGUGCACCACUUACGUCGCAUAAUGGCUGUGGUUCUUUACCGGAGUUAGCCAAGCAUGGACAAGCAGAAAAGAAAGAUGAGAAAUAUCACGGCUUGGCAGAAAAAAUCCAUGGACUUACAGAAAAACUACACAGUCUCGGUCAUCAUCGCAGUGAUAGCGACAGCUUCACUGGCAAGUCUGGGUGCGCUUCUGUUCACCCGAUGGUGACUGUUACUCAGAAUUACGGGGAGCAGAUGUCAACGGAUUCCUCUCCUAACCAGAGUGUGGUUUCCAGAAACUCUUCCCGAAAGUCCAACAGUUCCAUUCUUGUACACAACAUUGACUUAAGGAAGGCCAGUAGUCAUGUGGACGUGCACACUUUACAGGUUCCUUUGAAAGACAUUGUCUGUUACCUGUCACUAUUGGAGGCUGGAAGACCAGAAGAUAAGCUUGAGUUCAUGUUUCGGCUUUACGAUACUGAUAGUAAUGGAUACCUCGAUAGCAACGAAAUGGACUGCAUAGUAAAUCAAAUGAUGACAGUCGCUGAAUACUUGGGAUGGGAUGUUAGUGAGCUGAAACCGAUUUUACAGGACAUGAUGAUAGAAAUUGACUAUGAUGCUGAUGGAACAGUUUCUCUUGGAGAGUGGAAGCGUGGUGGAAUGACAACAAUUCCAUUACUCGUCCUACUCGGACUUGAUUCGAAUGUGAAGGAUGACGGAAACCACGUGUGGAGAUUGAAACAUUUCAGCAGGUCUACCUAUUGUAACCUUUGUCUUAACAUGUUAGUUGGCUUCGGCAAGAAAGGACUUUGUUGUACUUUUUGCAACUACACCGUUCAUGAAAGAUGUGUACAGAAGGCGCCGGCCUCGUGUAUUAGUACCUACGUGAAAUCUAAAAGGACUUCGCAGACGCUGCUUCAUCACUGGACAGAAGGUAAUUGUGUUGGGAAGUGCAGUAAAUGCAAAAAACCCAUUAAAUCGUACAACGGAAUAAGUGGACUUCAUUGUCGGUGGUGUCAAAUGACGCUUCACAACCACUGUGCUUCCCAAGUGAAACCAGAAUGUACUUUAGGAGAACACAGAGACCACAUUCUGCCCCCUACUUCCAUUUGCCCCAUCGUUCUGGAAAGACAACGAAGUUUGUCCGGUGGUCAGAAGAAAAACUUAUCUCGUUCAGAUUCCAGUAUGGCAACAUGUGAAAGUACACAAAAUGUUGGCUCUCCAAUGUCAUUCCAAAUUACUCCACUUCCAGGUACUCAUCCGUUAUUAGUUCUGAUAAAUCCAAAAAGUGGCGGAAGACAAGGAGUUAGGAUCUUAAGAAAGUUCCAGUACUUACUUAAUCCUAGACAGGUGUAUAAUUUAUCUAAAGGGGGACCAAUGCAGGGGCUACAGUUUUAUAAAGAUGUCCCGAACAUUCGAGUGCUUUGUUGUGGUGGGGACGGAACAGUCGGCUGGGUCUUGGACACAAUAGACAAAAUGAACCUUCUCCAAGCACCACCUGUCGGCAUUCUGCCAUUGGGUACAGGGAACGAUCUAGCAAGAUGUUUACGGUGGGGACCCGGCUACGAGAACGAGAGCCUUGACAAGAUAUUGAACAAAAUAGAAAAAUCCACGACGGUGCCAAUGGACAGAUGGAGAAUCGACAUCACAACCGCUGAUAACACAGAAGAAAAAGGAGAUCCUAUACCGUGCAAUAUUUUCAACAACUAUUUCUCCAUUGGAGUGGAUGCGUCGAUUGCCAUAAAGUUCCAUCUAGAAAGAGAAAAACAUCCUGAAAAAUUCAACAGCAGAAUGAAGAACAAAAUAUGGUACUUUGAAUUUGCUACAUCCGAAACGUUCUUUGCUACGUGCAAGAAUUUACAUGAUGACAUUGAGAUAACGUGUGAUGGUCAGCCUCUUGAUCUAGCCAAUGGGCCAUCUCUUCAAGGGAUUGCAGUCCUCAAUAUUCCCAGUAUUUAUGGAGGGUCCAACCUCUGGGGAGACAACCCCAGUCACAAGAAGAAACCCAAACGGAGGAAGAAAACAAAAGAAAACGACGGGCGAGUUAACACCCUUCAACCAACUGACCUGAGCGUUGCAGUGCAAGAUAUUGGAGAUAUGUUGAUCGAGGUUAUUGGCCUGGAAAACUGUAUGCACGUAGGCCAAGUGAAAGCUGGACUUCGAGGGUCUGGUCGUCGUUUAGCACAAUGUUCAUCAGUUAUGAUAAGGACAAAAAAGAGAUUUCCAAUGCAAAUAGACGGAGAGCCAUGGGUACAAACCGCCUGUUCGAUCAACAUCAGCCAUAAGAAUCAAAUGCCAAUGCUUAUGGCACCGCCACCUGCGAACAAAGCUAGAUUUCCCUUCCGGCUUUUUUUCCGACGAUCAUAGUUAGGUGAGAUGUGCCAUCUAAGUAUGUGGUAUAUAGGUGUACCCGUAGUGAAGCAUUAUUACACUAUUAAAUUCGUCUAUAUUUAAACCAUUAUCCAUUUGAGAAAGUUCGUGUCCAGAAACCAGGUCAUCGCUUCCCAAUGCCAGAAAAAAACAACUUAACUUAUUUGGAGGAUUAACUCCACUCUUCAGUAUAUUCUCUAAUGUAAUUCUAGUCGGUUAACUGUAUUUUUGCAUAAUAAUAUUGAUAAUUCUAGCGAUGGUCUCAAUAUUUAAUACUUAAUAUUAUUCCGGUGAAAGAGUAGUAACCUCUCUGACUUAGACAUCGAGGUUUAAAUUUCCAAAGAUUUUUGUACAGUCCAUAGGACGUUUACGAAACUUGAUCGUAGACCGUCCGUCAACAAAGUGUGUUUGUAAAUGUUAUUUGCAUAUGUAUAUUUUUGUGUAUUUCAUAAUAUUUUUUAAGUAAUAUUUAACGAUCAUUUCUACUAGACCUCUGAAGUAUUAUUGUAUUUAUUGUGUACUUGGCGUUCAGUUCUAGUUUUACUAUAGAAGUUUAUGUCAAUACUAAGAAUAAAUACAACUUUCAUAUAAAGAUAAAAUUGACUAAAGGCAACUUUAGACCCUGAGCGUGGAUCUUUCUUCACUAGGGGAAGACUGUGAAUCAGUUUUUUCAUGUUAAAGAAAGGUUCACCUUUCGAAAAGUGGAUCUUUCUUCAUUAGGGGAAGACUGUGAAUCAGUUUUCUCAUGUUAAAGAAAGGUUCACCUUUCGAAAAGUGGAUCUUUCUUCAUUAGGGGAAGACUGUGAAUCAGUUUGCUCAUGUUAAAGAAAGGUUCACCCUUCGUAACACCAUAUUAACAUAUAAUGAGUAGCAGAUGACUCUUCUAUACUUCUUUGAUAAAUGGAAUAUACGACAGAUUCGUAGAAUGUGUUGUGUCUGUCUGCUUUAUUGACUUUUCGGUAUUUCCUAAUUCUGAAAAAAUGUUUUUGUGGUUUUUUUCACUACCACAUGAAUCGAAAGAUGUGUUUAAUUCAUUAUGGGUUAAAGAAAGUGCCCUGUAACAUUGAAGAAUAAUUAUUUCAUAAACGAAAAGGGUAUUUCAAAUUUAAACAAAUUGUUUAACAAACAAAAAAUAACUGUUCAACUGAAACUUGUGAAAGGUUUCAAAUAUCAAACCUAAAUUAAAUGUGGGGUAAGCUUAUGAAAUUGAGAUUUUUUAAAACGGUGCUGAUAUUAGACGUAAAUGUUUUACCACUCAAAUCUUGUUGUUCCUUCUACAUUUUAUCAAAUCUACAAACUGAUUUCUAUUUUAGAACUACGUAACGUCCAUAAGGUUUGUGGUCUUCCUUCUUCAUUUUAUUGUAGAAUGUAAAAAAAGUCCGUCAAAUUUUCUAGCAUCAAGGUUAACUUUACAGCUGUAUAUACAAAUGUGUAGAUAAAGGCUUUUUUUCGAUGUGUUAUAUUCGUUCGUUUCUUAAUAUAAUUUGUCGAAAUACGUCUUUUUUUAUUAACUUAAUCUACUAGAAAGCUACUCAUUUUCAAGUGUGUGUGGAUCAAUUUAGGCAGCGAGGUACUAAUAAGAGAUUUCGUGGGUUCAUUUUCACCGAAUCCUGAUAUCGAAAUUAAAUUACGAGUAAUUUUCUGAAAUGCUACUUCAAUGUGAUUAUUCCAAAUUAUAAAUAUGUGUGUGUGUGUGUGUGUGUGUAUAUCAUGAUUAAAUACAUAUUUAAUUUUCCUCACAAUAGAGUUAUUUUAUACUGAAUCAUAACAUACGUUAACAUAAGUCGUGUGCAGUAAUAAUUUCUUUUAAUAUUCUUUCUGAAGAUAUAUGUUUUCAGUUUACUGGCAAAGGAUUUUAUGCUAAAACAUAUCAGUAAAAUUGCGUUUAAAAUUUUCUUCUACAAUUUCUUUGCUAUUUAUGUCCCAAUUACUAGACUAUGUUGUGUAAAAUGUUCACUUAUUUGCUAAGAGGGAUAAUA
rnacentral:misc_RNA from 1 species